UAAUACGAAGGGGGCUAGCGUUGUUCGGAAUUACUGGGCGUAAAGCGCACGUAGGCGGGUCGUUAAGUCAGGGGUGAAAUCCCGGAGCUCAACUCCGGAACUGCCUUUGAUACUGGCGAUCUUGAGAUCGGAAGAGGUGAGUGGAAUUCCCAGUGUAGAGGUGAAAUUCGUAGAUAUUGGGAAGAACACCAGUGGCGAAGGCGGCUCACUGGUCCGAUACUGACGCUGAGGUGCGAAAGCGUGGGGAGCAAACAGG
rnacentral:rRNA from 1 species